rfam:Picea glauca, whole genome shotgun sequence.
UCUUAUGUACAUGCCUAUAUUGUUAAUGAAUUGGAUCCCAUUAGAAAUCUAUAGUUAAGAACACUUGGGAUAGAGUAGUAUUGGGAUGGGUGAUCUCCCGGGAAGUCCUAGUGUUUUACAUGCC